GGAUAUCUGUGCUGAUAAUGUUAACGACCUCCAGCCAGGUCACAAUCAAGUAAUUCACACAUGCCCAUGGAGAAAUGGGGGGCUAAAAAAGGAUGUCUAACCCCCAGUGUUUGAGCACUGGUGACUCUUAGUACUGUGGCAAAUUAGAAAGCCUGAUUUCUACUCGUGCUAUUUCCACAAUAUCACAGCUUAUUUUUUCUGCAUAGCAGAGCAACCUGGGAUUGGAGUCUUCCAAGGAUGAAGAAAUGUCUUAAAUUUUAUUGCUAGACUGAGAAAGUAGUCCCAAGAAGCAAAAGCCCAGUUAGGGUCCACCUGUGAGUUUCAGAUCUCAGGAUCCAGCCUGUGCCAUUAAGAGGGUGUGAUUUCAACCAGGAAAUGCGAUGUCAGUCAUUCCCAAAGAAAUCUGCCGGGAGUCCUCCGCACCCCGUCAUCAAUUCCAGAGACAGCACCCAGCCUUGGGCAUCAAUCCACUCCUCAAAAACCACGUUGAGCUCCCAAGGAGGGAACUGGAGAGCGAUGGAAAUCUGCCUGUCCAGAGGUCACAGAAGGCACUGCGACAGUUCAGGAGGAUUUGUGAUUUAAUUAAUUGUUACUGAUGAGAUGGGUGAAUUUUGAGAGUGUGGUAACUGAGAUUUGGAUGACUGUGGUUACACCAGAUUGAAGGAAGGGCUUGAGCAUACUACCUGCACCCAGGACAUGGGGUCUGUACGUGAGCAGUGACAGCAGCAUGUGUGCAGCAGCCAGCUGGAGCACCUGAGGACCAUAAAACCGGGGAACAAAUGCCGAUACUUCAUUCAGCUGGCAAACCAAAGGAGAGUCAUUUAACUCCCUUUCUAGAGCCUAGUUGCUUUGUUACUCUGUAAAAAGCUUCAAGAUGAAUUAUUAAUCCCAGCUCAUAUUGACAACAAGCACAUAAUUUCAUUUCCUGCUCUGUGACAGAGUUCAAAACCAAGCACAUCUCAAUUUCUCCUAAGAAAUUCGAAUUAAUGGUUCUUGAAUGGCUCUUGUGAGACAAACACUUCCUGAUGCUUUAGCAGAGCUUGGAUAUUAGUUUGGGCUUUGGAGCUGGCCUCACCUCUACAGGGGGACAAUCCACUGUCCCAAACCUUGCCAUGUGCAGGGACUGUCCAGCUCUGCAUCUUGAAUUACCAUUUUGUGAUUUGUCAAAUUCUUCCUUAGCAAAAACACCAAGUAGUCAUUGUGCAGUUCACGUCAGCAGAGGAGGUGCAAUAGUUUUGGACAGCCCAAAGGAUCACAGAUCACAGUGAGGAAGGGAAUUUCUGCAGCAGUCAUGAAGUAAACUGGCUACCAGUUACUGCCAUGGUGGUGAAGGCCUUCAGCUGGUGUAGAGAACCAGAGGAAUUUAUUUUUCAUUGUAGAUCAAUAAAAGCUUGAUACUCCCUCCUGUGGGAAAUCCAAAGUCAGGCUGGAAACAAUGGAACAGGGAAUUGGAUGGUUUUUUAGACUCUUCUGUGUUUUCAUUUUUAAGCUCUCUACUCUGAAAAAAAAUGAAGACAAUUCCAUGUACAGCACCCCUACACUGAAAGUCAAUUUCCUGAAAGUGAUCGCUUAUUUUUAGCUGUACAUACCAACUGUUUCUGUUUACUAUACAGCUUUUGUUUUGCUAUACACCAUAUUUAUUUUUUUUUCAUUCUUCUUCUCCACAACAUGUGCUAAUUCACUCUGUUUCAUUCUAUCAUUUAAACCUGCACUCCUUGCUUGGUGUCCAAAGUCCUCAUUUCUCCAAUAUCAGCACUGGUAGCUCUCAGGUUGGUCACACACUACCUUCAGAGAUGCACUGGAAAAAAUUAGGCAUGCAGAAGUAACACCACUUUCUUGCACGGUAGCAGUAGUUAAGGGUAAUUUUUCCCAGACCUGUUUUGGUGUGGUGCUAUUCCCGAGGCAUUAAGCAUCUUUGUUCUUCCCUAAAACUUCUGGAAGCUGCAAGGGCUUACAGCUCUCCCUAAUGUCGGUGGGAUGCCUGGUGCUGCAGUGCUGUUGUGUGCCACUUGUUGCUCUAACCCACCUGGAAUCCAAAUCACAGCCCUACGGUUUCCCUCCUGAAGGAGCCUUAGCUCCUCUUCUAUCGAUCUUGUUUCCCUUGCUCCUGCAGCUGCACGUCAGAACUGUUUGUACAGUCCCAGUGAGUA